UUCAGCAAAGAAGAAAUGUUGCAUUUCCAUGACCCUUGGCCUUAUCCUGCAGGCUGGGCUUUUCUCUGUCACACUAUCUGCAUUGCUACAAGGUCUAGGCAGUCCCUUGCCACAUGAUUUUUCAUGAAAUGGUAAGCCCUCGGGAAAGAACACAAUAUACAUACAUGGGGAGAAAAAGCACAGCAAUCAUUGCAGAGAGGAAAAACACAAAAAUCUUUUCAGAGCCAUCAUUUUUUUUCCUUCAGGUAUUUAUUUUUGGUGAUGUCUUAUCUAGGUGACAGAAAACACAGAUGACAAACAGCAGCAAACAGUGCAGAGACUGGCAGCUGUCUGCAUGAAAUAUGACAGGGUUUAUGCAACCAACUCUGGCUCAUUUCUCAACCCAUUAUUCAAGAAGUGUUACACACUGAACCUGCAUGACUCUGAUGACCAGCAGCAUACAUUCAGAUCACCUCCAGGGACAGCACGAGGGCUGCAAAUCCCCAGACCCAGGAUGGCAGGUGCUGACUGAUCACUGCUAAGCUUAAGCACAUAAACAUCACAGGCACAGGGAAGAGAUUCUAAACCAUCCCUGUGAGAUUGCCAGCUCCGUAUUUCCUCCCAACCAUCAAACUCUCGAUCAGCUCCUGACGCACAAGUUACUCCCUUCCUCCAAACCCCUCCAGGUGUUGACUCACCAUGAGGUGCAGAAAAUCUGCCAAGGCAGCUCCUGACACAGAUAGACCAGGAUACAUCACUGGGUUUGAGCAAAUAUUCUUUAUUUCUUGACAGAUUUUUUUAAUUUUUAAUGCACUUGCACCAUGAUGUAGAAGAAAUGCACUGUUAUUCUGUGUUCUCUGUGUACCAUCCAGGCAUGUCCUCAACAGAUCUACAAUGCCACUAGCUGGCAUAACUGCAUCUGAGGAGGUGAAUGAAACUUCCUGGCCUCUCCUUGUCAUGGAGUUUUAGAUGACAGAAUUACUCCAGCUCUACACAUUCUUUAAGGUCAAAAAGGCUGUUUCCAGAGUGCUUUUGCCAGGGACCCAGUUGCUCUCUGCUCAGAAACCUUUUGUUCUGUACCUAUGAGAAUUUCAACAGCCAAAACAAACCUGAACAGCUUAAGUCAUCAGAAGGAUCUUUUCCAAACACCUGGUGGGACUGAAGAUGUGGUCCCUGUUAUGAAAUGCUGGUGUAAAAUGCAGUCAAGUGCUCUCAAGCCUAAGUUAGCAUGAACUGGACAGCAAAAACUGGUGAUUCCUUACAAGCCCAAGUUAACAGAGAAGACUCCUAGCAGCUGCCAAACAAAAGCCAAGCUGGCAUUGUGGCUGUAGAUCCUCUGACAUGUAUUUAGAAGGUUUUUUGUGGGAAGAAUCACAUGAGGAAGAAGAAUGACCAGGAGAUGCCAGAGGGGAACCAGUGCUGGAGAAAUAAUGAGUCAUCUUAACAACACUGCCAAUUCUUUCCCUGCUGCUUUCUGACACAAAGGGAGCAAGUUCAGCACUUGCAGCCCCCAAGAGAGCUGCAUUUUGUAGCAGCAGCAUUUCCCUUCAACACUGAACUUUUUAUUCUGGAAAGGGCCCCUCCCUUAUUGCCGGUUUAAAUGAUGAUUGUCUUCCAACUCUGAUUCCUUUUCUGAAAACCUAAAAUAUUUUCCUCCUCUGAGGGGAGCAACAAUGACACCAUUACAUCUGACAGUCAAAACUCAAGUGAGGAAUAUAACCCAUGUUCUGGAUCCAGCUGUUACAGCCAAAUGGCUCAUAUCACUUUAUUAAUUAAGUUUUUUAAAAAUUUAUUUUGAAGCUACUAAGGCUUCUUAAUCUAUUAUUGACCUGCCAUUUCCCAGCAGGAGGCUCUUAAGGGUUGAAUCUAUGUAACAGGAAGCAAUCUCUCAAUCUCUAGCGUGUGCUUUCAAGAACAAAUUAAAAUUACUACUGAUAAGCCCCAUCUUAUCUUGAUGAAACAUUUAGGAAUAUGGGAAGAUAUGUAUUUUACCCAUAACUAUGCAGCAAAAUUGUUUGCUUAAUAAAUUCUUCCUUUUCUCAGUUUGCUGCAACAUCCAAACAGGUUAAGGUUAAAGAAUAAUUGUGUCUCAUUUCGAAAUAUGCUGCACAAUAAAUAGCCUUAAUUUACAAAAGGGUUGGAAUUCAGAGCCUUCUAGAAAUUUGAGUGCUUUUAAGAUGUCCUACUUUUUCUUACUCAAAAGUCUGGACAUGCAUUUUUUCACAGAUUUUCCUAUAAGCUCAUUUUUUUUUCAGAUUUUCUUAUAAGCUUAUAAUAAUUGCUUAUAAUUUUAUUUGCAGUGUUUUUUUUUCCUGUUUCCUGUGCAUCUGAAAGUCUGCCUUUUGGGAUAUAAUCCCUUUCUAAAACAAGAUAAACAUCUGAAAUUGCUCUUUUCAUGGUUCUUGCCCUUGAAGUCCUGUUUGUCUGCUCCACUGGUGCCUGCUCACAAUCCUCCACUUGCAAAUCCAAGGGAACAACAUUCAUCCUGAGCUCCAACAAACCCUUGUAAAUGAGUUCAGGAGUGAUGCUGUAGGUUCUGCUCACACACUGGGGAGUUGGGCUCCUCCAAGGUCUGUAAUGCUGCACCCUCUAGUCCAGAAGGCAAGAGUCACCGUGCUCAACCCCAAGAGCCAUCGCUCCCAGCAGCUUGGGGGUGGAGUAUCCAGUAGGUCACCACUUACCCUACAAACUGAGAGCAUGUGGCAUGGGCACUGCGUCAGUGUCCCAAAAGGAUGAAACUGUGAUCAGAACCAGUGACAAUAGCGCUGAGCUGAAGAGUUUAAAAUUUUUUGUUUCUUUCUUUUUUUUCUUUUAAAGAUAAAGCUAAGCAUGGACUUCCAUCACCUCUGUCUUGGGUCACUGGUGAAAUUCUCCAGUUUUCAGGUGUUGAAGCAGGGGAGUAGCUUUCCCUGCUAGUGGUUUAUGGAAAUACAUUAUGGAUCUGAGAGGUAACUAGUGCCCAAAGGAGAGUUUGCUGCCAAGGCUUUGCUGACAGGUGCAAGUACACCAACAGCUUCUGUGUGAGCUCUGCAGGUGUCCUGCUAGUUUUCAGAGCUUGUCUGAUAGCUUACUUCUGCCUCAUUUAACCUCAUUUAUUGCUGUAAAUCAUUUAUCUCUAUUUAACAUAACUCACAGUCUCUUUAACUUGACAGUGGAAAUAGACACUCACCUGGCUAAUCUUCAUAUAGAAUUCCCAGUUUAGAUUUUAUUUAACUUCUAUUAGUUCAAAUACUUUUAAGGAACCUGAAGGAAAUUUCUACUGAAAUGCCCUUGUGAAAGAUAAAAUUUAAUUUUUGAAAGAUAAACUACCCUUUUUUCAACUUUCAAACAUCCUUCAUUACUCACAUGUCAUCCAAUAUAAAUGUGAUACUGGAAUAAGCAGAAAAUAAAAGUUAAAAGGAAGCUAGACAAUAAAGUUUGCAUCAUAGAAAACAUUUUUAUAUUUGCAAAAUAAAAGGGAAAAAAAAGGAAAAUGGACUUCUGAAAUUUCCUCUGAGAAAAUGCAUCAAAAAAAUCUGAUCUUCACUUUUAACCUUGCUGUGAAUAAUGUCAGCUCUGGGUCAGCUUUUCAGUAGUGACCCCCACUCUCCCUCCUCUCCUCUGCCAACUGUUUCCCUUCCUUUCUUGGAUUCCACAACAGAGCUGGUAUUUCUCUUAUCUCCGCUAGCUUUUCCCAUAUCUAAACACAUAAUUUCCUCCCCUAACUCCCCCAGUCACCAGCUCCUGGUAGUGCAUGUACUCUCCAAGUAAUAAUUCUUGCUGAUCUUGGCAAGCCAUGUGGCUCUUCUGGCUCCUUUGCUCUCCAGAGCAGAACUGGGUGCAAAGCAACCAGGCUUGUACCAAAGCAUAUAUUUCCCAUAUUCUCUUUCCUAUGUUCUGUGUUGCAAAAAUCAGUCUGUAAAAUGUUAUUCUCUAUUAUUUCACUAGUGGCCAUGAAGUUUAUUUAGUUUUAUAGAAGAAACAAGUAUUUUAACCUCCUCUUUCUCUUUUGAAAAGGGCUUCAAUUUCAUAUUAUUAUUUUACUCUAAUUCAUUCCUUAAACUGUUAGGAUGUCAAAAAACAACACCUCCUCCACAUGUUUGCUAGAAAAAAUGUUUUUGGGAGACCUAUAAAAAUGAAGUAGAAAAGUGAUCUCAGACAUAGUAAGCAUAAGAAAGAAAUGCCCAAGAAUGCAUUCCUGUGUGCUACAAAAUAGGAAUUAACUUGAUAUUCAACAUUUCUAUGACUAGUUUGUUUUUUUGCCAAGGUUCUGGAGUGCCUGGGAGCUCUCACCAGAACAGGGCACUGCUGUGGGAGGCACUGUGCAAACAAACAGGAAUAAAAGAUACCUGAAAAUCUAAGUCACACAAUAAACAACUUGGGAUCUGCAUAGAUGUAAUUGCUGAAGUAAAAACCCUCAUUGUUCCGUCUGAUUUUCAAAAUAAAAUUCCAGCUGGUACAGAAGAAGGCCUUCCUUCAAGGACAGCAGAGUCUUAAAGUACUGGGCAUGAACUCAUUAGGCAAAAUGUCUGGCUCCUCAUAGUCCAGCCAGAACUGUGAAAUCCAACUAUUUAUAUUUGCAUUUUUGCAAUGGCUAUCAAGAUGGCAUUAUAAAAGAAAUCUAAAAGAAAAUUAAGUGGGAUAGAAGGGCAGCACUGCUGUGGAAACAAAUGUAGGAGUGACAUCAGAAGGUAGCUGUGCUUAGUUAUGAGACCAGACUCCUUACAGGAAAAAUGUGCUACCCUAGCCCGCAGCCAUGACUCUUGGAGGCUGUGGUUUCCCACCUAUCCAGUGGUAAUAAUGACAGGAAAUGAAUGCCACUGAUAUUUGACAAACAGUAUUAGGGGUUCCAGGUGAGGUACAAUGCUGGGCAUUUAAAGAGGUUGGUCUGGUUUGGAGUGGAUUACAGCUUAUUCCCUUGAGACCCAGAGAGAGAAGUGGGUGCUUAGACCUUUCUUGUCCAGCAAAUGGGAAGUUCCUCUUGAUUUAGAGGAAGUUUUUGGUAGAAACAGACUCUUUUUUAGCCUUUUUUCCUCUUUUUUUUUUCCUAUCCUCUUUGUGUACAUGAGGAUGCUGUAUACUCAAACUGGCUUUUUCCUGUUAAAAAGAAGAUAUGAGAAAGGUUUUCUACAUGCACAAGUCUAUUAGUGGCUGAGUGCAAAUUUCCUUGGAGGAGAAAACUUCACAAAAGGUUUGGAUCCACAGGUUAACUCUCAUUGGCUGUUAAAGCCUGACCAGUUGAUAGACAAAUCAAGAAUUUAAGCCAUUUUCUCUUCUAUUUCUUUAUCCUCAGAUGACCCAACAGAUUACCCAACUGGAGUAAAAACAUAAUAGCAUAAAUGUUCAUAAAACAAGGAAUAAAUGGUAGAGAAAAUUAUUUCCUUCCCACCUCCAGGGUAGUCCAUAAUAGUACACACAGCAAUGACAAUGUACAGUCCUGUACACACUCUGUUUCAGGCAACUUGUGGGGCUUGAAGCAUGGAGCAAAACAGAGAAUGGUUUGGAACUACAAAAAAGUAUUUCAGUUUCUGACAUUCCUCAUCUUCUGAGAUAAGCACUAAGCCACUUUUUGUCUAUCAGAUGCUGACCAUUUUACACAUAGUCACUAUCAAUCCGUAGGAAUCAAUCAGUAUUUUAUUGUAGAUCAAUCACCACUAGAGAUUUUAUUCAUUAGGUGUUCAGUUAAUCAUUUUAGCAUGAAAAUUGAUUUUGUUUACAAGAGGAUACCUGGAGCCUACUUGGGUAGGUGAGGUGAUCAACUUUUUAAGAAGCAGGGAAAAAUGAAGGGAAAUGCUAGAAUCAGUUUGGGUAGAUUAUAUUAAUCCUCUGACUCCAGUAAGAACAUAAUUUCAUCCAUGAUCUGAUUUCUGUAUCAAUAAGUACAUUCACUAUUUUACUAAAUUUUAUUUUUAAAAAGUCAUUUGUGAAAAAUAACAGGACAUUAUUUGUGCUAUUUUUUCAGGUUACUUGGGAAUUAACUUAUCAUGGCAGUAUUUCAUUUACCAGAAUUCUUUUCUUUGGUAUUUUACAAUUGAUCUGCCUGAUUGUUCAGGGAAUACAGCUCAGACUUAAGUACAAGUAAGAAAUCACUGAGAAAGCAGAAUUUUAAAUGCAACCAGGUUCUUUUAGCCCACAAAAUCAAGAAAAUUUUACAUAGAAUUUUUUUUCAACAGUUAAUUAUCUCCACAAAGUGAUCCGGACUUGUAACCUAGUCUUCUAAACGGACUCAUUUAAACCUCCCCUGUUUCUCCCAGCUGACAGAGAUUCAGCCUAAAGGUGCUGAAUGUGGCAGAGUAAGGUAGUUAAAACCACAACACAAAAUGACACCUUUCUUUCCAUGGAAUCGAUCUAGCAAUUGCUCUGUGUUGCUGUAAAAACAGAUUUUUUGGCUGAAUUACUUUGGCUACUUCUCUGCAUUAUGCAACACCCAGUAAGAGCAGAUAAACUAAGAUUACUUAGCAGUUGUAAUUAUUUAACCUAUGGGAUUUAUUGCAUCUGAAAAAUGAAGUCAGUUCUCUGGAGAAAACACACAGUUACUUAGAAAUACAUGUGAAAUAUUUGGGGUGAAGUAAUUCAUCUGGAAUGGUGAAAAUUUAAUUUCUGUAAUUUAGCCCUAGAUCUGUAACUGUACUUUGUUUCACAGGAAAUUUCAGGAAUUAUUUUAUUUGACUAGCAGUAUGGAAUCAAAACCUGAGAAUGUUGAAAAGAGGCUGGUGCUGGAAAGAGUCUGGUGCUGAAGCACAACAGCUGUGACCUACCCUCCCAGCAGAGCAUGCUGGUGGAACAGCCCUGGCUCCAGAGGAGUAACACUGGAGAACCAGCCCAGGGAAUUGUUAUGAAGAGCAAAAUUAAAGGGCACAUACAAAAUAUUUUGUUCAUUUGUGCUCCACAACUUUCUGCAUUAAAAAUUUUGGUCCUCAGAUUUCCAGCUAACCUAGGAGAUUCUAAGUUCUGUAGAUAACUACAUUUUUGCCUCCUAAGUCCUAAGCAAAUAAAGAUCUUUAAAACAUCGUCAAAAGUAAACAAACAUGUCUCUUAUAGCCACUCUGGUGAGAUUUACCAAGUUGUCAUUCUUUCAUGUCUCAUAAUCAUCUAGACAUUGGCAUUCUUGGAGCACAUAAAUGAGGAAGUCUUGCACACAAAGGGGCUAUGGGAGGUGGGUGAUGAAUCAGAUGCUGGAAUCUCACUGUAAAGCUGGUUUCUUUUCUUUUGAAAAAGCAGAAAUUCAGAUGGCAAAUACUUAAAAUUUUUGCACAAAAUGUUCUCUACUUCAAGUUUCUGGAAUCCAGCUCUCUCUAUUUUUUUGCAUUCCAUUGGGAUAUAGUUCUGUUUAAUAACAUCUUUCUCUUUCAAUGAAUACUGAAUUAUUGAAUAAUUUCAACAGAAAAGAUUGGAAGAGAUAGGCUGUACUGUGAGGCUAGAGUGUUUAAGAGGAAUGUGUGGGUUUAUAAUAUGUUAGCAGAGGGAAGAACUGACAGUGGGUCUUCACAUCUAUGCAAGGGCUGUAACCAUUGAGCUUAUGGCUGAAACAGUAGGAACAAUAUUAUUUAUCACAAACUUCCCUGCAAGGAAGAACCUAGUGGGGGAUUCCUUGCAGAAUGACAGGCCAGUAGUCUGCUGAGACUGAAUUGUGUCCCACUGGCCCACUUGAAGACUGCUUUUUACUAAGGGUUAGCUGUAAUAGAUACUACUUGUUUGUCUCUCCCAAGUACAAUUUAUGGCCCUCAAGAAUGCCAUUGAAGGUUAUGGGUUUCUUCAUUUCAACUGUGAUGAGGCUGAAUAAGUAUGCUUGAAUUUAUUUUUUCUUUUGGUGAAAUAUCUUCAGCUAAUAAUGAGGAUUUUGAACAUAGCUGAAUCUUUCCUGUACACUUCUAAGCUGCUGCUGGCACCCAGACAAGCACACAUCAUGGUAUUGGCACCGUGCUCCUGGCAGGAGGCUGGGACAUGUAGACUCCCACAACAGCAACAACCAAGAGUGCUCCAACACUUGCUUGGCCCAUAGCCACAAUGUGUUUUUGCCAUCUCCCUAGAAGCUAUCGAAAUCAGCUUCUAAAUGUUCCCAGAUUCUUUCCCCCGGGGAGAAGAAAUCUGAUGGUGACAUUGAAAGGCAAGAAUCCCACAGGAUUCUGUAUGUCAGCCUGUCACAGACCCCUUCAGCCAGAAAUAUUUCUUUUUUGUCUUAAUCUUUUAUGUGGCUUUUUUACAGCUUGAAAUAAUGUUUCCUAUCAGUUACAGAAAAUAAUAUAGUAUCCUUAUAAAUGUUUAUUUAUCUGUUCAGUAAAACAAUGAGAUCUGGGGCUAAAUGCUGCAGACAAAAAGGAGAUUGAAGUAGCAUGCACAGAGAUGCAGCUAAUACCUCUAAGCAAAUGUCAUGUUCACAGUACUCGUGGUGAAAUGGCAUUAGCCAGAGCAGUCUUUUCUCUCAUGUCUUCCAAACAAUCACUGUUCCUUUCUAAUCUGAAAUUCUUCCUAUCCUCUCAUUCUAUAGUGACUCUGUAGCUAGGCAGAAUUUUCAUUAAAUAGGCACACACUUGGCAGAAUAUCUUCAGCUAGGAUAUUUACAGAUAAAAUUUGUUUAAAAAAUUUAGCUUACUCUAAUGAAACAUUUUGUUCUCUUUCCUUUUACUUCACUCAAGACAAGCAUUCAAGAGGUUGAAGUGAAGAGGUCACAAGGAAACACCCUGUUACCUAUCAAUCUUUGGGGGAUCCCUUGAGAUACUCGGUGUAGUUACUCAGAAAGUCAAUGGUUCAUGAAACAAAAAUGUAGGUUAUGUUUAGGAAAACAUUUGGGCAGAAACUCAGCUCAUAUUGCAGGUAUUUAUCCAAUUUGAAAGAAAAUUGUUCCAAACAGUUCCUUGCACUUUAAGCCACUGAGUCACCAAUUUCUUCAUCAGCAGAAAAGCAGCUCCUAUGUAACACACAGCAAGGAAAUCAGAAAAUUUGCUAAAAAAGGGGUCACUACUACUAUUUCACUAAUGAUAUGGUGCAGGUUUUCAGGUGGCCCAUCCAUCAGACCAGUGCUGAUUUGUAGCUAGUAAGGACCUUUUCACAGCAAUAUUGUGACAGCAGCAGAUGUGAGCUGUCACGGACACUGAGCUGGGAUUUCUGAGCAAAAAAGCCUUGUUGGGCGCAUGCAUUACAGCCUAACAAUGCUGUACCUUGCUAAAUGAUGGGCAAAAUUAGUCACUUGCUAUAUGGCAUUAACAGGUCAUGCUCAAGGCUCUUGGUAUAUUUUCAUGGUCAUGAAAGAUUUAUUUCUCAGAUCACCUGCAUAUAAGACAAAUAUCCAUCACUUGAAAAGAGGAAUUUAAUUUGUCUGGACAAAAAUAACCUCAAAGGCUCUGGGAUCUCUGAAGAUAAACUCCUUGGUAUUUCUAACAAGCUAGAAAAAGAAGAGGAAAAAUUUCUGCCUUGGUCUAAUUAGAAUCUUGCCUUUUUGAUCCCCAUUUUCAAGAUGCUGUUUUUCAGGACCCAGUGAAUUUGGGCUUUGGUCACAUGGCAUGCAUGCCUGUGUGCAGGCAGGGAGCUGUGGAUGUUGCAGUGAAGGGAUCUCCUCACCAGGUUUUGGAGAGUGCAAAGCAGAGUCGGGAGCGGGGUUGCUGCAGCAUACUGAUACACCAGUGCUUAUCCAGGUGGGAAACAGCACAUUUCAGCGUUCCUGCUCUCGAAAGGAAGAAUACAGCCCAGCCCAGCACUCUGGAAGGUUUCCAAGUCCUUGCAGGCUGAUAGGGAGGCACAACACAUACAGUAUGUGUCUAGCUUAGGAACAGGAGGUUCUUGCUGUGCUAUAAAGUGAAGGUUGGGUCUCACAGAAAACUGGCUUUCCUCAAAGAUGAGGCAAUUUGUACUUGGAAGCAGUUCAGCAUUUAUGAAGGAUCCUCUCUGAUUGUAAUGAGCAAUGAUAUAAAGCUACUUUUUUAUUGCUUUUCUGUGGGAACUCAGCACAUCACUCCGGAUGUCCAGAGUUACUGAGGUAACCCUUGGGGGGGGCUCUGAAAUCCUGGAAUGUUGCCAGAAGUGCUUGGUGGUUGGAUUUUGACCCUGCACAGGAUGUGCCACCUGUAUGAGGACAAGAGGAUCACUUGGGGAUAAGUGGUGUAAGAAUUAAUUAUUCACAGGGUGAAAAUACAGGUUUUAGGAUUUUGGUAAAGGGGGUUUAUGGAGACAAGAUGGAGGAAUCAGGGCAUGUCUUGUCCUUCUUCUUUCUUCUUUCUUGUCAUCCAUUUUCUGUGGUGAUGCUGGCACUUUGGAAUUGGUUCAUGGUGAAUGUGCACUUAUUAAUAUGGGUGAAAGGUAGUGGGAAAUAAAGGUAAAUAUGAUGUACGUAGUUUUUAGUAUAAAGAUAGAUGAGCGCCCAGUGGGAGGUCAGAGUGCCCUUGGCUGCCUUGCUGGUCAGACCUCUGUCAGGCUGGAAGAAAAUUUUGUAGAUAAGAAAUAAUAAACAAUACUGAAGACUGAAAAUCUGAAGAGUGCAGACUCGUCCUUUGGAGCGCAGGCUGUCCCAAGGCCAUCCUACGCGUGACCGGGCAGAGACAGAAGCCGGGAAAUAUAACUUUUCAAAUUGAGUUAUAUUUUGCGUUUUUAAAAACUUCUUAGUUGAUCUUAUCGAGUAUAAUUUCCCAUUCUGUUUUCCAGUAAUUACUGAAAGGAAUCAGACUUCAUUGUGGGGUAUGUCAGCUCUGUGUGGCCUGGAACCAAAUUGGAAUAAAAAGAGGAAUUAUAUGGAGGACAGGGUAAUGUCUGCUCUAUAGUGGAAAUUCAGAUUGUGUAGUUUUCCUGCAAUGCCACAUGAUUUCUCCAUCCAAAUCCAACCCAGCAUGAUCCAAACCUUGUUUCUAAUAAAACAUAAGGUGAUUACUUGCUCAGCCCAGUCUGCUGCCAAACCCCUGUGAAAGAAAUGGUACCACGAGGGCUGAGCUUCACACCACUGUGACAGCAGGGGCUGGCAAAUCUGAUGGACAUCAAUUGCCUAAAGUGAGUUUAUCCCCCUUCUGAGCCAUGAAAAGGUUUUCUCAAAAACAAUUCCAGGCAAUAAUGGUUUUACAGACAGAAAUGUUGUGUUUCUUGAGACUGUACAUUGUACCUUUUUGAGGGAAAAAAUAAAGAAAAUGGACAGUUCUCAGGACAAUUCGAAGGACUUUUUGAACUUGGAAAGAAAUCCUUGUUAUGGUAACAAAAGAGUUACUUUAUCAUUUUUCCUGGGUGUAAUGUUUUAAGACAAAUAAACUUCCUGAUUUAAUUGUCAUUGCUAACUGGUUUUCAUUUUUUUUACCAAACAUGUGGGAAGAAUUAUAAAGUACUCUCUAUCAAUAGUAAAAGGCAGUAAAAAAGAGCUGAGUUACAAGGGGUAUAAGAGUGCAAAGCAAAAUUUUAGGGAAGCAAACUAGUGGAGCAAAGCUAGUACAAUUUUCUGAGAGAUGCUGUCAUUGUAUUUGGUUGCAACAGGGCAUCCCUGGAAUUAAAACUGAUGAAACAAAUGAAAGUAUCAAAUUAACUAAGAAUGUUUGAAACACAAAUUCUAUGGCAGUCCAAGAACUUCAGUAUGAGUAUUGCCUCAAAAAAGAUUGGAAAGUUAGAAUUUUGGCUAAUAAGAACAUGUGAGAUUCUUCUGGGUUAGUUUUACAGAACAUCAUAAAACAGAGGGCUAUAAAACCAGCAGUGCAUACAUAAUAACAGCUUACUGCAAACACUCUGUUUUAAGUUUAGAGGAAAAUUUGAUUUCAGAAGUAAAAGAAACAUCUGUGUUUCUUCCAAAUAACCCUAACUAGACAGUAUUUUAUGUAGUAAACAAAAUGGGAGACAAUAGCUUCUUUCUGACUACAGUAUGAUAAUAAACCUGAGUUUGAAAAAAUAAAUGUUUCAUCCUAAAAGAUUAUGACUUAGCAGGAAUAGCCAAUUACACACAUUUAGCUUUCUAGAACCACUUUAUGUGAUUAGAAAAAUGAAUACAAGGGAAUUAAUGCAUAUGCUCCUACAUUCCUCAAUGUAAUUUGUGCUCUAUACAUCUGUGUUUUAGAUGACAAAUUUUAGGGACCAGGGCUUUUGCAAAACAUCAAAUAAGCUGUUCAUCUAAGUAUAAAAGAACAGUAUUGUGUGACAAGAAAACUGCUGAUCAGAUUUAACUUUGGAAAAUAGCAUGGCUGUUCAUGUGGCUUGUAAAAAAGUGGGUGAGAUUUAAUUUUUUGAAAGAGUUUUGAGAUACAGGAAUGGCUCAAUGUGUGAGAAGAAUCCCCCUGGUAUCUGCCUAUGUCAAAUAUGGCUGCCAUGACUUUGCUUUCCAUUUUGCUAGAUUUCAAACCUUUGUGUUUAAAGAGAAAAAUCCAAAUAUUUCAUGUGGAACAGAAAAAUUGUA